rnacentral:rRNA from 1 species
AUUUACACCGACAAGGAGGCCUACUGGCGCCUUCGCGGAUCCCAGAAAUGGGUCCUGAAAGGUGAUGCGAACACGGCCUACUUCCAGGCCAUUGUGAAUGGUCGGCGUAGAUGCAAUACCAUUCCCCUUCUUUGGGACGGGGAGUCUCUACUUCAGUCCCCCCGUGACAUCAGGGCUCACAUCGAUGGAUUCUAUAGGACCCUUUUCUCUGCCUCCCCUUGGGGAGGCUUAUCUUUGGCCCUCGACUGCUGGUCCGGCCGCCAGCUUAUUUCCGCUGAGGAGAACGCGGUCCUUACGGCCCCCUUUUCCGAGGACGAGGUUUGGGAUACCAUCCGCGGCAUGAACCCUACCUCGGCCCCGGGUCCGGACGGCCUACCGGUGAAAUUCUUCCAGUCUUUCUGGAAUGUGAUCAAACCGGAGAUCAUGGCCAUCUUCGAAGAGUUCUAUGUUGGGUCUAUCGACCUCGGGCGCCUCAACUAUGGGAUCAUCUCGCUCAUCCCAAAGGUCCCGGGAGCCUCGGACAUUCGUCAGUUUCGUCCAAUCACGGUCAUCAACGUGAUUUUUCGGAUUCUGGCUAAAGGGUACGCCAAUAGGAUGACCCUCCUCGCUGACCAGAUUACCCACCCCAACUAG